rnacentral:lncRNA from 1 species
CUCUCUGGUUAUUUUCACUUUUUGUUUUGGACAAAAAAGAAGGAGAUGAGAGGAACAUUUUUAAAACGCCAUGUAGAUCGCCUCGUGGUUAUUUUUAUUGUUUUAAAGAUAAUAACCAGAACUGCAGGAGGAUCUCUGUGACUCCCGGUCAGCCUGAGGGACAUAGUGAGACUUUGUUUUAAAGAGGUUAGAACCACGUUGGUUCUUGUAUUUGGAAGGUUUGUUUGAGGGCCUGAAGACUGCUAAGCAGCUAAAAGCACUUGCUGUUCUUCCUGAGGGCUGGACUUCUGUUCCCAACAUCCACAAGGCGGCUCACAGCCACCUGAAAUUUCAGUUCCCCCCUCCUGGCCUCCACCGGCCCUGCACAUGCAUGCGCGCAGGCAUGAGGCAAAACACCCGCACAUACAUACAUACUGGGUUAGCAGCAAACUUAAGCAACUUUUCUCGAAGGAAGAGAGACCUGCCCUGGUCAUUUGAGGAAUAGGAUGGAUGCGGUAUUGUGGACUCUGCUCAGGCUGAGCGGCAGGCAGUUUCUACAGAUGGAGAUACUAGGGUGGCCUAGCUGUUUUAUUCUGCCUCCAGGUCUCUCCUGAAGUUACAUUCAAGAUGGUAUCUAGACUGGGAUCAUGCAAAAGCUUGACAGUGAUGGAAGGACCUGUUUCCAAGCCAU